UACGGAGGAUGCGAGCGUUAUCCGGAUUUAUUGGGUUUAAAGGGUGCGUAGGCGGCUUUUUAAGUCAGCGGUGAAAUUUUGCAGCUUAACUGUAACAGUGCCGUUGAUACUGGGGAACUAGGAUUUGGUUGCUGUGGGUGGAAUGUGUGGUGUAGCGGUGAAAUGCUUAGAGAUCACACAGAAUAUCGAUUGCGAAGGCAGCUCACAAAGCCAAGAUUGACGCUGAGGCACGAAAGUGUGGGGAUCAAACAGGAUUAGA
rnacentral:rRNA from 1 species